GUUCACUGUCCUCUGCUUUUAGUCUCUGUCCAUCCACUUAGUCCUGCCUAUCUGCAGAAGUGAAGGAGGGUUGGGCCAGGUUAACACUUGGAUGGGUGACCACCUGGAAAUACAAGGUGCUGUGGGCU
rnacentral:rRNA from 1 species